rnacentral:tRNA from 3 species
CCGGUAGCUCAGUCGGUAGAGCAGAGGAUUGAAAAUCCUUGUGUCGGCGGUUCGAUUCCGUCCCAGG